rnacentral:rRNA from 1 species
CGUCAGCUCGUGUCGUGAGAUGUUGGGUUAAGUCCCGCAACGAGCGCAACCCUUGUCUUUAGUUGCCAGCAAGUAAUGUUGGGCACUCUAGAGAGACUGCCGGGGAUAACUCGGAGGAAGGUGGGGAUGACGUCAAAUCAUCAUGCCCCUUAUGUUCAGGGCUACACACGUGCUACAAUGGCCGAUACAAAGGGCUGCGAAGGAGUAAUCUGGAGCCAAUCCCAUAAAGUCGGUCCCAGUUCGGAUUGUGGGCUGAAACUCGCCCACAUGAAGUUGGAGUUGCUAGUAAUCGCGAAUCAGAAUGUCGCGGUGAAUGCGUUCCCGGGUCUUGUACACACCGCCCGUCACACCAUGGGAGUCGG